rnacentral:misc_RNA from 1 species
GAAAUGCGAUAAGUAGUGUGAAUUGCAGAAUUUAGCGAAUCAUCGAAUCUUUGAACGCACCUUGCGCUCCUUGGUAUUCCUUGGAGCAUGCCUGUUUGAGUAUCAUGAAAUCUUCAAAGUAAAUCUUUUGUUAACUCAAUUGGUUUCUACUUUGGUAUUGGAGGUCUUUGCAGCUUCACACCUGCUCCUCUUUGUUCAUUAGCUGGAUCUCAGUGUUAUGCUUGGUUCCACUCGGCGUGAUAAGUUAUCUAUCGCUGAGGACACUGUAAAAGGUGGCCAAGGUAAAUGCAGAUGAACCGCUUCUAAUAGUCCAUUGACUUGGACAAUACUUUUAUGAUCUGAUCUCAAAUCAGGUAGGACUACCCGCUGAACUUAAGC